CGGCCUUCAACGACUAUAUCAAC
rnacentral:miRNA from 1 species